AGAGCGAACGCUGGCGGAAUGCUUAACACAUGCAAGUCGCACGGUCAGCAAUGGCAGUGGCGGACGGGUGAGUAACGCGUAGGAAUAUGUCCAGAGGUGGGGGACAACCCCGGGAAACUGGGGCUAAUACCGCAUAUGAGCUGAGGCUCAAAGCAGUGAUGCGCCUUUGGAUUAGCCCGCGUAGGAUUAGCUAGUUGGUGAGGUAAUGGCUCACCAAGGCUCCGAUCCUUAGCUGUUCUGAGAGGAAGAUCAGCCACACUGGGACUGAGACACGGCCCAGACUCCUACGGGAGGCAGCAGUUGGGAAUCUUGGACAAUGGGGGAAACCCUGAUCCAGCCAUGCCGCGUGAGUGAUGAAGGCCUUCGGGUUGUAAACUCUUUCGACGGGACGAUAAUGACGGUACCCGUAGAAGAAGCUCCGGCUAACUUCGUGCCAGCAGCCGC
rnacentral:rRNA from 1 species